GGAGAGGUGGCAGAGUGGUCGAUUGCACCGGUCUUGAAAACCGGAGUACCUGAAAGGGUACCGUGAGUUCGAAUCUCACCCUCUCCG
rnacentral:tRNA from 1 species